rnacentral:lncRNA from 1 species
AAAUUGACAUCAAAAUCAGCUGGAUCAUAAAUCAGGCAUCAAUGUUUUGUUUAGCCAUAUUUUACACAAAUUGCUUGGGAUUCAUGUGUACCAAAACUUCAUGGUUGUCAGUUUUAAAUACCAGUGGUCCAAAAAUAGCACACACACACAUCAUUCAUUGCAAAUUCGAGCAUCAUAUUAGUAAGUGUUGCCUCUACAUAAAAGUAAGAAGUUCAUUUCUUCGGCAGCAACAUUAGCAGGAGAUAGCCUGCAUCUUCGCUGGACACAAUAGCAACAUGUUAAGAAAGAAAGCUUCGCUGGACAUGUUAAGAAACAAAGCUUUAUCAGCAGAUGUUUCAUAAAGCUUGUAGGAAAUGUUUCAUGAGAAGCAGCCUCAAACUUAUCGGUCAAAUGGUUUAAACAAUAAAUACCUGAAUGUAGAAUCUGAUCGUGUAAAUCCCUUCUUCGUUGUGCUCAGGAGUGAUUAUAACCUCUGAUAUACAGGGAGUAGCACCAAGAAUUUAUUGUGGAAAAAUAAUAUCAUAAGGUUUCUAGUUCAAAGGUACUUUUAGUAUGCUAUUACUGAUUAUAGGAAGAAGCACCAAAAAUUUAUCAGCACUAUGGAUCUAGUUAUUCAGCACUGAUUAUAGGGAGAAGCACCAAAGAGCGAUAAGAAUCCCUCCAUCCUAAAUAACAUCACCGCAUCCUAUAUGGAUCUAGUUAUUCAUAAAGUAAAUAAUUUCACUCUAACUAAGAAGAAACAAACGAUCUGCACAACUGAGCUUAUUAGGAAAACUUGACCACAUAUUAUAUAAUCAUCUAGUAUCCAUCAACAGUAACAGCAAUCAGGGAGAAUGCGUCUAGGAAUUUCUUAGUCAGAUCAUACCAUUUAUAAUUGAAAUAAAUAAAAAUCAGUCAGAUUCUAAGAACAACACAAGGAUUCAAAGGCAACAUUAAAGAAACAAGGUAAAAGCCAAAUUAAAAGAAGCGAUCGAUCACCUGACUUCAUUGCCAUCAUCAUUAAAGGUAUCCAGAUUCGAUCCAAGCUUCAUGAACUUCAUCUUGAACAUGAAAGAAGAGCCGCAUAGCUUCACGAUCCUCUAGACCAAUGCUCACACAGAGACCAGACCACUACCACCAUCACCACUUGUAAGAAACAAGAACUGCACAGCAUAGAAGCACUUUGUUUGUUGCAAACACCAGGAAGUGUCGAAGAUGACAUAGCAGAAGCACUCUGAUCCUACCAUUUACAAGGGACAUACUGUUGAGCCUAUUGAUUAUAUGAAUACCAAACUUCAAAGUUGCAGUCAUAGUAAAGACCUGCAACAAACAAGAUUACAUGUUGGGUCGUAUCAUCUUGUCUUCUGAUUUUAUAGCGCUGCAUAGUGGAGUCUAUUUACUUGCUAUAUUUUUUGUCACACCAUAGCUGGCUUCGGGAGCAGAAAACUUUUCAGUGAAUUACCCAACGAACAUAUUUUAUUUGUCUUUGAGAACAUCUUUAAUCUUUUAUUUUCAUCUGGACAGAAUUCUUAGUUCAUUUGGCUGACAUAUUAGAGAAUCUAUAACUACUGAAUGGUCUGUUUUUCGAUAAAAUCUAUUGCAAACAAUCGCUACUAUCAGCUAAAAUUAUAUUAUAAGCAUGCAUAUGUAUUUAUGAUCGAUAAUUAUCCUGUCUUAUACUAAAAUAUUUUGCUUACUUCAGAAGAGGCAAGUAUAUUAUGCAGCACUGAUUUGACUUGUCUAC